UUCUCCUCUGUAUUUAGAACACAACUAAUGUUGAGGAUGACUAAUGUUCACAUCUGCCAUCUAAAAAGAGGCAAACACUGUCUGAUGUUACUAUUUUUUUUAAGAAUUUGGCAAAAACAGCAUUACUAAUCUUGGAACUUAUUUUUAGUAGAGUUUACCAAAUGAAUGAGCGAUAUUUC